rnacentral:rRNA from 1 species
UACGUAGGGCGCAAGCGUUGUCCGGAAUUAUUGGGCGUAAAGAGCUCGUAGGCGGUUUGUCGCGUCUGCUGUGAAAACUCGGGGCUUAACCCCGGGCCUGCAGUGGGUACGGGCAGACUAGAGUGCGGUAGGGGAGACUGGAAUUCCUGGUGUAGCGGUGAAAUGCGCAGAUAUCAGGAGGAACACCGGUGGCGAAGGCGGCAUCCUGGACCGGCAUUGACGCUGAGGAGCGAAAGCUAGGGGAGCAAACGGG